AAAUUGAAGAGUUUGAUCAUGGCUCAGAUUGAACGCUGGCGGCAGGCUUAACACAUGCAAGUCGAGCGGUAGCACAGAGAGCUUGCUCUCGGGUGACGAGCGGCGGACGGGUGAGUAAUGUCUGGGAAACUGCCUGAUGGAGGGGGAUAACUACUGGAAACGGUAGCUAAUACCGCAUAAUGUCGCAAGACCAAAGUGGGGGACCUUCGGGCCUCAUGCCAUCAGAUGUGCCC
rnacentral:rRNA from 1 species